UGUUCCAUGCCUUUGCUAAAAACCUUACCUUAGGUUCCUGUCCUUCCUCAACAUCCACUGCCAUUUUCUCUUACCUCCACUUGCUAUAGCUCAAGCUUCCAACCAAGGUUCCUAGGAACAGCACCACAGAGAUCAUAAUGAAGAAGGCAGGAGUAGAGCUGGAAUAUACUCAAUGUUCUUAAUCAGAGUCUCUAGGUGAAUCAUAAUAGGACUGUCUGCUGAAAUGCCUUAUUAUGUGUUGUGGGGAAGAUGAGGACACACUUCUAUCUGGUAUCUGGUAAGCAGUUUUGCAUUAAUCACUGAAGCUUGCAAACACUGCAUAUUCUAACUAAUAAGCUUAUAAACAUGGUCUCAGGUUCAAUUAAAAUACUCAUACUAUAUAUGUACAUUUGCCUCUUGUCAUAAGCUGAUGUAGCGUGGGUGCAGCCAACCCAGGGCCCACACUGGUUGUGGCGCCCACUACGUGAACUAUGAAGUUUAGCUCUGCUGAUUAUAGUUCACACAAACUAACAACUAAAGUGUGUGGCAGUACAAUUUCCUGGGAGAAUUCAGCAGCUCUUAUCAAAUGAAACAGUCCCUUCACUCACGGUUUCAAUGGUAAGCCACCACAACACAUUUUAACAAAACUCCCUUCACCCUCAUGCGUCAUGGGAAUUCUGAGGGAGGGGCGUAGGCUGCGUGUGCACAGCGGUGUAUUUACAGCAUCAACUUCCUCUGGAAGCCUCUCAGUGUUUCAGCAGCACAGCGUCUAGCCUGCCCCUUGUUGGUCCGUGUACGUUCUUAUAGUUCGUUUUUUCGUUUGAACCAAUAAACGAACCACAAGCUUGUAGAACGGUCCGAUCUGUAACAUUAUGCAGGAGUCAGAGCUGGUGGAUGAUUUAUUGCAUUAGUUGAGGGUUAUAUAGCCACUGCUGUUUUGUCUGCCUGAUCAACUGCUGAUUUUUGUCCCCUGAUUUUAAAUGUGGAUUUAAAAUCAGGGCUUUUUAUGAGACUCUGUUACAGGUGGAUGGGCCCUGUGAAUGUUUUUGCUAGGUUCUGCUAAGGGUGGGGCAGUUUGCUUGUUGUUGGGCUGCGUGACUUCCCUCAGCCUUUCUCCCUCUUCUUCCAGUGUUCUGACAGUGUGGUGGACUGUGGUGGACUGUGGUGGACUGUGGGAGCCCCUCUUCCCUUCACUGCAUGUCGUGGUGUGUGUAUAUGACAGCUGUGUGCGGACCUUUAACUGAGCCUUAUUGUGUGGGGUUUUAUGUGUGUGACUUGCUGUCUUUAGGUGGUUUCAGGGCAUCCUGGUGGCAAUUUUGCUUUGGUAACAGUUUGCUUUUAUCCUUCAGCAUCUCUGCAGCAUGGGCCGUAACAUCUUAUUGGUUUAUUGUUUGAGCUUGUGUUAAUAAAACCUGAUCUUUAAAUGUUCAUGUUUCGUAAAUCACCUUUCCAGUUGAAACGCAUGUCUCUUGUAAAGAAAUGCUCUGUAAAAAAUAAAUCCCAUGGGUUAAAAUGAGAGAUUAUAUCUCGGUUCCUAAGCUUGCUUAUUUGCUUGUAGUGCUACGCUAACCUUUCUUCUAAGGAGGACAGUAGUCAGAAAAUGUUCCUUAGCACAGAAUUAAUUUAUAAAAAUGUAUUGUACAUAAUAUGCCUGAGCUCUUUCUCCUUGUGUGAAGUGAUUGUUUUAUAAUGUGAAGACUCUUGGAUCUGAAUGCUCGACAUGGGCCCACAAGUGUUGUAGCUUUUUAACUAAAUCUCCAUCUGUUCACUGCAGAGGCUCUAACCACAGCCUGGAGGAGGAACUAGUAUAACUGACUAUUGGUAUAAUUUAACCUUAACAUUAUUUACUCUUACAGGUUUUCUUCACUAACCCACUGUGCUUGUAAAUCAUUUCUGGGCAUAUGUGAGUGAAAGAGUUGCACUGCAGAACCCUGCUUCACUUUACUAUUGUACAUACUAGCCUGCUGUAUAUGAUAUAAAUGUGUAUUAAAAGACAGAAGUUGA